ACCAAAUGCUGCCUUCAGAUAAUACUGCAUAGGCAGUUAUGAAGCAGUCAGGAAAUCUAAAAUCUCUUGGUUCCUUUUUUUUUUCCUGAAUUGGAAAGGAAGCAUAUCUGUACAGCCAACCCAAAUAGUUUGAGGUUCAGCUGAGUUGAGUUUCAUUGAAUAUCUUGUCUGUUCAAUGAUAUCCCUUGUGGUUUAGCUUACUGAAUGAAAAAUAAAAUAAAAUAAAAUAA
rnacentral:misc_RNA from 1 species